rnacentral:rRNA from 1 species
UACGGAGGGGACUAGCGUUGUUCGGAAUUACUGGGCGUAAAGCGCACGUAGGCGGAUUUGUAAGUCAGGGGUGAAAUCCCGGGGCUCAGCCUCGGAACUGCCUUUGAUACUGCAAAUCUCGAGUCCGGAAGAGGUGAGUGGAAUUCCUAGUGUAGAGGUGAAAUUCGUAGAUAUUAGGAAGAACACCUGCGGCGAAGGCGGCCUUCUGGACGAUGACUGACGCUGAGACGCGAAAGCGUGGGGAGCAAACAGG